rnacentral:misc_RNA from 1 species
CAUCUCUCAUCGUUCUCUGUGGAUGCCUCCCGUAGCAAGCACCUGGCAUCUUCACUGCCUUUUAGUGUUCUUUGUUGCGUCUAGUUCAACGUAUGAGAAGCGCGGAAGCGUGCACCGCACCAUUCUCGUACGUUUGCACGUCCCCUCCGCGCUACAUCCGAACCUGGCCACGCUAAGCGCCGCAGCCACAUCACUUCAGCGAAAACACCCGCAUCGCCGCCCCGCUCGUCCGACUCCCUCGUGAAGUGCGCAGCGAGUUUACAAAUAUCGAAAAGACCGUCACCGCUCUCGUGGCGGAGUCGUGUCCCAACCAAACGCAUACUCGACUUCCACCUGCCCGCUGAGCGACACACUCACGCUUGUUUCACCGCUACGGUGUUGCACCCAUCGCCGCUUCCGUCACAGAAGACCAGGCGCGUGUGCGUACACGUGAGAGCAACCGGUGACGAAGCGCGCUACGCUCAUCCGGCUUCUUGUUUGGCUUCCCUUUCCUCCAGCACAGUCGCUGCCAUGGGCUGGCGCUCCCUUCUCCGCCGAAAUCUCGCCCGCCCUCUUGUCUUUCUUUCCUUGCCCCGCCACCCCCAGCACCCCUCGUUGCCCAGUCAUGCUCAACAAUGCAUACAGCGAGAGGCGCGAGCACUACCUCGACCUCUUCGCAGACGAGGAGGCGCAAGCGGGUCACUACAAGGAUAAGAUGCGCUGUUUUCUUACGCUGGAAGAGGUGGUGGAGCGUCUGCGUGAGCAGCCCAGCAUUCACGAGCGUAUCGCGUCCAUCGAGGAGUUCGAGGAGCCCACUGGGCCCCUCAGCGUACUGAAAUUGUUCGCUAGGUCGCGUUGUUUUGUUGUUCUGCAGACGGCCUCGUACUGGUGGUCGCUCGAGAGGCGGGAAGACGUUAUUGUGGUGCAGCGCUCCCAGAACUUCAGCAGUGUUCACAGCAGGUGCAAAGGUGCAUAUCGCCACUAUCGCUGGCCGAUCGAGUCGGCACCAACAGCACGGCGGUGUAUGUGGUGCCGCGGUGGGCCGAAGCUCUCCGAAGUGUUUAGCGCCAUGCUGCGAGACCACGUCUUCGACCCCAAAGGCUGCGCUUCUUCCUCCUGGGAGUUCUCCGACUACGUCUUUCACCUCUGCCUUAGCGGCCGCAACGCUGACCCCAUGUGCGACAAAGGACGCUGAGUCGCGCGCCGAACACACGAAAAACCCAAAAACGGGCCUUCAUCACUGUCAGCAAUACAGCAAAAUGCACACACAAGCACGCGCACGAGCAUGAGAGCGCGAAGAGAUGAGUGGCAUCACUUCCCUCGCAGACCUGUAAAGAGGUGUGUCUGUGUGUGCGGGCGUUGAUGCAGUAUCGAACUGAAGCCGUAUUUGUAUCUUUCUCCCCCCCCCUCCCUCCCCACCACCGCUACCAUCGCCCUCUGUGGUUUCUUACCUCUCUCCCUGUUGCUCGUGAAG